GGGCGAGUAAGCGAUCUACGUGUC
rnacentral:siRNA from 1 species